rnacentral:lncRNA from 1 species
UAAAGGAGAGGCCCCUCGUGCAAAGAAAACAAAGCAGGGAAACCUUUUCUCCUCUGGGGUUGAGUGAAGACCUUCCUAGUGGAGGAAAGGAAUAUAAAGAUGUCGCAGGAAAAAGAGAAGCCAGUGUGGCCAGAUCUUCAAAGAAAGAGAUAUCCUUUCGAGGCAACACAAGAAGCCAACUACAGAUGAGAAUAUUAUUCUCUUGGUGCAGGGAUUGUUGCAUGUGGACCCCAUCAGCCUUGAAAAGUCCAUGGCUUCAACACUCUGUGGCCUUUGACAGGC